rnacentral:sRNA from 1 species
UAGAAUACAGAGUUUCAUUGGUAUAUAAUACGAGGAGAGUAACAGUAAUAAUAAAUACUAAUAUAGUUUAAGCUGGACAGCAGACUUGUUCCUGAAUAUUCAAAAUAAAAGAGAUUAAUUUUUUCUAUGUUUUGAUGUUUGUUGAAUUUUUUUUGAAAUCCACUAAUCAGUAUAUAUUGCAGUACGUUGUUCUGUCCAGAUAUUAAAAAAAACCCCACAAGAAUCUGAAAUAUGUCGUAUAACAGAAAUCAGUCUAUGGAUUUACACAGUCAUUAUUGUACAUAUAUUGAUUUGCGAAACACAACUGUAUUUGUAAACAGUAAACACAAUAUUAAUAUCGUUAUCAACGAAGCAUUGGUUGUUGUUUUAAUAAAGUAUUUAGUAUUGUAUGUAUUUUUGAAUUCUUGUAUCUAUUUAUUGUGGAUAAAUUAUCUAUUAUUAUUGUUGAUAUCAGAAUUAAUUAUCUGCAUUUUCAUUUGAUGUUGACCGAGUGAGGGGAGUUUGUCAUGUUAUGUAUUUUCAGCUCACCUACACAAUGCCAAGAAAAGUUAUAUUAUUCAUUAUAUCAGUCAAUUUUUCAAUUCCUGCAUUUUCCACCCCCUAUUUUGUAAAUGAUAAGCUAAUUUUUUUGACACGAUGUUUGUAUCGCAAUCUUAAUCUCAAACAUUUAUAUGCCUUGUAUGAAAUAAACUUUCAUUGGAUGUAUUUGAUAAUGAUAAAUACCAAUCAUGUUUUAAACCUGACAGAUGCGUUAUUUUGGAUCAGGUCUACUUUUAAGAAGUAUUGGGCCUUUAAUGAUACUUUGCAUUGAUGAUGCAUAUAAUCUUUAUUAUACCAGUCUUACUGUAAAUGCUAAUUGUAAAAUUUUCUGGAUGAAGGACCAAAUGAAAAGUACAUCUUUUACAUCUUUUUGUGAUUCAUUAAGUAUCCUUUGUUAGGUAUGAGUGAAUUUACAAAGUGCCUUAAGCUUGUGUUAACUUUGAUGUAUUAGUACAAGUACUUCUCCUUGUAUUAGGACCGACUUUUAUGUAACUAAAUCCAAGGUGGAUUGAGUGUUGUAAGUAUGCUUCUUUAUCAUUGAUGUUGUUCUUGUGUGUUAACCAUUUUGAUUCAUUUUUCAUACCUAUGCAACUUUAAUAGCUUAUUAAAUAGGCUAAAGAUGGGACUUUCAUUGCAAUAUUAUAUAAUUUUUAAUUACAUUACAAUUUUUUAGGACGAAAAAACUUUUUGAGAAAUCCAUUUUUAAUUUUUACUCAUUUAAUUUUGUGCUUUAUAUUUAAUAAAGGAAUUGAAAACU